UCUUCUUUCGGGCCUCUGCUGGUGACCUGAGGUGACCUGUAUUUUUUCUUCUGCACUGCCAGCCGGUGUGGCCCCCGCCGAUGCGACCCUCUGGCAGCAGUCAGGCCUGCCUUGGGGUGGGCAGCAAAGGAGACCUGUCCCUGAUGCAGUCCCCUCCCGAAUAUCUUCACACACGUCCUCCAUCCCGUGACGCACUGCUCAAGAAAGGAUCAUGGAGCAAUCAGAGGGAGUGGCCGUCGAUGGAGGCCGUGACCCGCCCCUCGUGGGCUCCUCUGACUAGGUCGGGGAGGAACUUUUUUUUUAAGUGUCCGUGGAGGAAUCGUCCCGUUGAGCGAUGACCGGGUGACGCGACCCAAGGCUAUAAAAGCAAAAGUUGUGGCCCUGUCAGCAGGAGUUAGUGACAAGGAGGGCUGCCAUCUGGGCUUAGCAGCGGGGAGGAAGUGGCUAGUUCAGGGCUCAGAUGAGAGAGAUGGCAGAUACAGAGGCAGACGCUAGCAUGGGGGUGGGAGAAGGAAAAUUUACUAUUAAAGAGACUAGAUUUGGGGACAGUGGUCGUGUGGACGGCAGCCUCCAAAGCGCCUUCAACAAUCCACACAGGGGCAACAUCCUGCAAGACCAGACUGGCCUUGCGGUCUGUAGCAGUGGGGGAACCUGAUCUUCAGGAGGUCACAACUCUCACAGGGGCCUUCAUGGACCCAGUGUUCUAGCUCUAGUGGCAGAGCAGGAGAUGUAGACGGGUGGACUCGGGCCCUUGAGGCUCUGGAUCUCCUGGAAGAUAGGCGUGGGGGUCAGCUUUGAACUUGACAAUGGCAGCAGACCCUUUUUUUCCAGAUAGGGGUUGUGAACCCGCCUGGGGAUGAGGCCCGUCCUCUGGACCGUGGACUCGGCUUCACGGGGCUGAGAGCUCUGGCCCCGGGUGGUGGCAGUUCCCCUCUGGACUUUCCCUAGGUUCCAUGGCUCUCUCUUCUGUGAACUCCCUCCUCCCCUUCUCCCUCUAACUCUGAGGUUACAGGUUCCCUUAACCUUGUCUCUCGGUCAUCUGGUAAGCCUGGGGAAGGUAGAGAGUCGGUGUUGACAACUUGGACUCGGUAUUUUGGUACUACUGGGGAAAGUGGAGGACACCCUGACUUGGGAGGGGAGGAUGGGAUCACAGCCAUGGUUUCGGUCACCCAAAUGAAUGCCUCAUGGACGUGGUUUAUUACUGUAGUGUUCAUCAUGGCAAGCAGAUGGCACCAGGAGAAAUGGAACCCCUUCAGUGCAGGAGGGCAGACCCUGGAGGAGACAGCGACCUAAGCUGAUGCCCACAGUGAAUUCCAGAGCUUAGGAGUCCUGCAGUGCCAUGUGUCCAGGCCUUACUCAGGAAGUCCUGUGUUUGGAAGGCCUUCAUCUUAAGUGGUUCAGCCUUUGGGGGUGGGGACGGGCAGACCCUUCCAGCUGGAGGGGCUGUCGCCUAUGAAUGUUCCGGAUGAAUGUCUUGUUCUGGGAGCGUCAUUCUCCGGAUGCAUGAAUGCCAGCCAGCACCCUCCUUCCUGGGGGUAGAGGCAUUCAGCUGCUGCAUCUUCUAAAUCAAGGCUCCAGUCUUUAGUUCUGUGCUACGAACUUGGCUUCGAGAAGAUUGCUUAAGGUGUAGAACACUUUUAACUUUGACGCCCUCAACGCGGCCCGGUGCCUUGUAGAUGGUGUUUGCAGGAGGAGCCCGGCGACCUCGCCCACCUUCCCUGCUUCUGCAGCCUGCGCACCUCUGCAUUGGUCAGAGGCCUUCUUAAGUGUGAUAAACUUUGGGUAUUGGGAAAGCUGUUCAAAUGGCUGGACUGGAAGAGUAUUAGCUGAUUAUUAAAAUGGAUGGGGGUGUCGUGUUUAAAGAGUAUGGGAGGGUACAAGUUGGCUGCAAAUUCUGUUGGGAUAUGUAUAUGGCAUGUCUACUUUGGGCAUUGGGAUGGCAUCUGGGAAUAUAUUCUGUGGGUUUGGUUUUGGUACUGGGUGAUAAGCAGGUGCUACCUACCGAGUGACCACUGUUAUUGCUCCUUUUCAUUUCUGACUUGGGGCCUGGCAGCCUAUACCAGGCUGGCCUUGGCUCUCAACACUGCUGGGAUUAGGGGUGUCGUCUAAAACUUCCAGCAUAAACUUUUUAAAGUUUUACUGGAUCAAGCAGGCUUCUGAGGUGGGAUUGCUGGAGGGAGCAGGACUCAGCUUGGCAUUGGUGUCUUGGCCAGAGGCUUGGUGAGGGAUUGGGGUGCUGACAAGGGAUGUGGCGUGAUGGGAGUGACGAUUGGGGAACCAUAGCUCACACUGAAAGUCACUGGUAAAUCCUUACUGUGGGUGAAUUGAGGGACAGUAACGGUUGCCUGGAAAAUAUCAGAAUCAGGAGGAAAAGCAAAAUUGAUUUGCUAUGCUGUUGAAUGGAAGAUGGUAUCAAACUCAAGAAUGCCCAAGCACAUGCCAGCCUGUGGAGAGGGUUUGUGAAUGCCUACAUUGUGGGCUCUUAAAGACAUUGGCCUUUGUGCCGGAGGUUGACAGAUUCUGCUGGGUUUAUGAUUCAAAUCCUUUCAUACUGUGUGGUUAAAUUCUAAUGCUAUUAUAUCUAAAGGAUUUAAUUUGCAAGUCAUGCCUUAUACAACACUAAAGGAAUUUUAUUUGCAAGUCAUGCCUUAUACAACACUACAGGAAUUUAAUAUGCAAUCCAUGCCUUAUGAAACAUACUGAAUUUCUGGGAGUGGCCAGGAGACAACAGGUGUUGCUUACUUGACUAACAAAUCAGUCAUUGUGACAGGGAACAUGGGCUUGCACGUGCUGUGAAAUUACUGUGACAUUUGGUAGGAAAUUUGAUCUGCGUAUCUUUGCCAAGGCCGCGAUGAAAACAUGGUGUGUUUAGCUUGAAUGGUGCUCCCAGCUAUCCUAAGCAGAGGGGGAACUAACUGUCAAAUGAGUUUGGGGAAAUAAAGGUCAAACUGGGGGUUGCAAGGGACGUCUUAGAUAAUGGUCUGUAAACAUUGAAAACCUGGGUGUAAAGUGGCUGUCUGGCUUUUUGUGUUGUCUUUUCCCACUCCUGUUACCUCGGGACUUUGUCUUCGGGUUGGUUAUUUGUGUGCUGCGUUUUCUUUGUGUUUUAAAGUCAUGGUGUGACCAGGGAAUGACACUGGGACAGCAGUGUUGGUCACCUUGGAAUGGGAAAUGGGGGAGCUGUAGCGGCGGUCACAGCACCUCUUUGUUCUAAUCAUCUUUCUCCUAUACAGCAAAAUAAAGGUUUGAGAUUGAAACACCUUAGAAUCCUUGUAUCACUGUUACAUUCUCGACCUCUGUCGCUUUGCAUAGCGAAGUUUCUGUCUGCACAGAGUUCCAGGCCUAGACUUAGAGCUCUGUGAUGGAGCCAGUGAGAACAGGUCACCUUCCCCCUGGGAGAACUGGUCUGAGCAGCCUGCCAGCUGGGAGGGAGGGGCUGCUCACUGUUGGGCACUGGUAAGGGAGUGCUCUGAACAUGAUUCAGAGCAUUUCCAGGUUAUAUUUCAAAAGGUAUUUCACGUCUUCACUCUUGGAAGCUGGUGUGGGCUUGAUUUGGGCAGUUUAUAAAUCCCAUCUGCCUGGAGAGUUGGACUUCAUUUAUCUUCAGGUACAGUAACUAGAGUCACUGUGGGAAGGGUGUGGGCCUUGGAAUCCAGGGAGUGUGUCUUGCCUGUAAACUUUGAAAAUAGGAACCAGCCUGUAUACAUGAAUUGGCCCUAUGGAGUCUCAUUACAACUGGAAAAUGGCUCAGGCAGAUUUUGAGCUUAGGACACUACCAUGUAGGGCUGGAACCUGGUGGCUACAGUGAACUGUUGUCUAUGUAAGGAUGAGUCUUGAACUGGAGUGGGGUGGGGACCAAACGCAGGAUGACUCCUUCCUUGUACUGAGAAGCCAGAAUGGGGUGUCUCAGGAGCUUCCUGUCUGGACUUGGACUACCAAGAGUAGGUGCUGCUGCCGAUGAGGGCAGCUUAUCUCCACCCAUAAUUUUUAUUUUUGUAUUUCAAGAGGUCUCACUAGCCCAGACUGACCUAGAAUAAAGAUCCACUAGCAGCUGCCUCCCAAGUGCUGGGGUUGGAGAUGUGAACUGCUUCUCCUGGUCUCCCUGCCCUUUCUAGGCUGGUCUGUCCUAGCCUCUUCUGGCUUCUUACCUGGUUUCUACACUUCCACCCCCUUUCCAGAACUCUGGUUUUUAGACCGUUAAAUGGUUCUCUGUGUUCUGUGGCAGCGGGCUGGUAAGGCUUUCAUCCCCAGCUAAUCAGAAGAGGUACAGAGACAGGCUGAGCUAUCCAGUGUGCAGACUUGGAGGGCUGUUGGUUUGGGUUUUGUUAUCUGAGAGCCCAGGUUGGUAUGGAACUCUGCAAUCUUCCUCAGCCUUCCAAAUGUUGGAGAGGCAGACAUGAGCCACACUAUCCUACAAGGACUGGUCUUUGCCCUGGGGUCCUGGGUUAUUAUUGGGUGCACAGAUAAGUCUGAGUAUAGGCUUAUUCUUUGAACUCCCAGAGGAAGCAGUUGACCUGGGAUUCAGUAGUUCUGAGGCUGAUCCUGUAUGAAUGAAAAGAAAAGGUUGUUUUUUUUUUUUUUUCUACACAGUGACUUCAGAUGUGGCCUGUUACAGAAAGACCUGACACCUGCCGUUCAGUUUGUCUUAUGAUUGUGAGAGACCUGUGGUCAUUGCCAUGGGCUGCAGAAGCAUUAGUCCCUGGUGGUGUCCAUGUCUUAGCUGCUAUUACUGAAGGAAGGAAUGUGGGUUCUUCCAAAUAUCUAAUAUUUGUAUAUUCAUCUCAAUAUGGUUGCAAACUGGGAUUGUCAAGGAAAAGAAAACUAAUAACCAAAACAAGAAAGCUAUUCCCAUGGGUUCCUGGGCCUCCCUUGGACAGAAUGCCCUCACAGCUCUCUGUGCACACUGCUUGAGGAUGAAGAGGAUUUACUGUAAAUAUUGCUAAUGGGGGAAAGCUCAUUUAUGUUCCAUUAACAAGCGUUACUGGCAUUUGUUUCGGAUUUUUCUUUUCCUGGGCGUCAGCUAUAUGUGCACUUUACACAAAAAGUCGGAUUGUACUUAAAUCCUGUCCUGCAGCGUGUCUUCUGUGACGCAUAGUGAAAGCCUUGUGUUGAUGACCAAAGCACCGAAUGCUCCAUUGCAUGACUGGACAUAAGCGACCUCAUCUAAACGUUGGUGAACAAGGGGAGGUCAGAGGAUGACUUUCAGGAGUUGGUUGCCACUAGCACAGCAGUCGCUUUCCCUGGGCAGGCUCACCCCUCUGCCUUCAGCUAUUUUCCUUUAGGAAAUGGUUGGCGUUGGAGCCCAAGCUUUAUCCAAUCUGAGAUACCCAGGUCAGUUUCUAGAAGGAAAUGACUAUCAGUCCUAACUUCAGGUUCGUAUUGCUCCGUUGCUGUCCAGAGGGUUUUUUUGAGUUACUUUCUGUGAAGCUGGUGUGUGUGUGUACUGUAUGCCGAGUGGCGUGACUGGCCAGUGUGCACGGGUGCCUUAUGAACCCAGCUUCCUCUGUGCGUCACUUGCUCUCACAGCUCUCAUCAGGAGGUUAUUUCAGUGGAUUGAUCCAUUGCUUGCUACUUUUUAGCAUUUUUGUGGUGCGAUACAAACGGUGUAAGUGUACAGUUUAGAGUGUUACACAGAUUAAAUUGAUCAACUGACCUCCAGACCUUGCAAAAUCUGAAACUACCCGCCAGGUGGGCUCUCUUUCCAGUGCCUUUCUGCUUUGUUUCUUUGAAUGACAGUUCUGGGUCCCACAUGUAUGUGGAGCCACCCAGUGUUUAUCUUUUAUUACAUUUAUCUUCAGUGUGUAGGCACAUGUGUGGAGGUCAGAGGACCAUCAGCAGGAGCCGGUUCCCUCCUGGUUGUUUCUGCCUCCCAGUAUGCAUCUUGACUGGUUGUUUUGAUCACACAGUAUCUGUGCAGUCAUCUUGGUGUGUGAUUUUCCUUGCUUCCAUACUUGGCCUUGCUCCUACCCUGGGCCUGUUGCCUUUAGGACUUCACUGCACUGGGGAUGGUGCACAGAUGCAUCUUUCUGAGACCAUUUCCUCUUUAGGAUACAGCACAACCAUCUUGGUGGAUGUCAGGUGACAUUUCACUGUUGUCUUCCGUUCCAUGUACUUAUUGAUCAUGUAGACUUCCUGGGGAAAGGCCAUUCAGGUCCUUGUCGUGUUUAAAAGGCUGUGGAUUAUUACCAUUGUUGACCUGCAGGAUUGUCUGUAUUCUGAAUUUUAACUCUUAUAUGAUUUGGCUGAUAAUUUUCUCCAUUCCAUAAAGUUGCCUUUCGUUCUGUUCUGUUGAGGUUUUUUUUCAUAGUUUCGUGUAUUGUAUGUGAAUUUGCUCAUAGGUGUGCCUGUGACAGCAUUCCUGAAGGUCGGAAGACAACGUGGAGUAGAUUUUGUCCUUCCACCCUGUGGAUCUGAGGCUUGAACUCAAUUGUCCUUCAGGCUUGGCAGCAAGUGCCCUUCCUACCGAACCAUCUUCUCAGCCAAAGUUUUAAGUUUUGAAAUUUUUAAUGUGUAUUAGGUUUUGUUGCCUGCCUCUGCCUCCGGAGUGCUGGGAUUAAAGGUGUGUGCUGCUGCCGCCAGCUGGUUGUUAAUUUUUAAACAAAACAAACACUAGGCAAGUACUCUACUACUGAGCCUCAUCCUCAGACCCUAAAAGUGCCUGUCUUAAUCUGCAUUUCUGAAAUUAUUGUCAGUAGUCCGAGAGUUUAUCACUUGACCCACUGCCUGCAUUUCCCCACGGCCUCUGGUGAGAGGACCCUGCAGUGUGUGUAGCUGGGAGGGUCGGCUGCCAGUCCUGUCGUGUCUAUUGCCUUAUUUUCCUCUUGUGUUAAAACCAAGAUGUAUGUGAUGUACAAGGACUUAAACUGUGUAAGUCUGACUGUAACUGUAAGUUGCCUGGAGUCAGCUGCUCAUGCCUGGGCUCGAUCUGUUGACACAGAUGGCCUUCUCGUGCUAGGAGUGAUGGCGGGCAGUUGCUCCAGUUUCCCCAGUGCCAGGCUUUCGUAGUCGUGUGUCAAACCCUGGGAAGCUCAGGCUCUACUGUAGAAACAGAAUGAAGUUGACGGUUUAAAAGUUGGCAGGAAGGUGCUAUGACACUCCGUAAGUGCCCGCUGCUCCCUGUUGAAACUUAGUGCACAGCCCGGCUAAUCCUAAUCUUUGGCUCACAGUGUGGCUCUUUCAUUUGCUUCAUUUUUAAUAACUUGUCAACAUGUCUGACUCUUGUAUCAAUAUGAAAAGCAGGGCAGUGGAAAAUGUCAUUUUCUCCCUCCACGCCUGUCACACUGCACCCUGAGGGUCUCGCAGGCCAAUGUCAUACUAAAAAAACCUUAUCCAAAUGAAUUUUUCAAAGCAUAUAUUUUGUUAUUUGUAACUUUAGAAGAAUUAAGUUGCCUGUAAUCUUCUGGAACUUUCUUAAUUGGAUAGAAUUCAUCUCUUUUCCUGCUGUUUACAGAAUUUGUGGGGUCCCCAUGAUGGUGACUGGGUGGGUUCUCCUACUGUUUCAUCAGAGAAGUAACUCCAACAGAACCCCACAGCGCAGAGGUAGCCAUUAUUACUGUAUGCUGUGUCCUGCUGGUCUGUUCUGUGUCUUUAUGGGAGUCGGGCUGCAUCGUUUUCUUGUGUGUAAUGUUAAGAUGGUACUGCCCACUGUCUCGUCUCAUGACACGAUUUUGCUUAGGAGUAGAGUCCUGUGAGCAUACAGCUGCCCCGUUCUUACCCUGGCUGCCCCACAAGUUAAACUCUGGUGUCCUGCUAGUGAUGGAAGGGUCCUCUCUGUGUUACAGAACUGACAAUUGUACUGUGAGAUCUCCACAGGCAACCCCUGUGCCUCAGUGUUGAGUGGGUAGCAGUCGUGGGUCAGACAAAUGCUCUGUUCUGUUGUCCUCCAGUGAUGGGCAGGCCUAUGUACCCGAGUGUGAGAGGCGUGUUUUCACGUCUUACUAGGCCUUCACACAUGGAACUUCACAUUUCUCCCAGUUUCCUUGGCUCUGUCUCAUGCACAGUGACUGCCUGGUAUGUGAGAUAUUGUCAUCUAUGUGUAAACUUAAGAACUGUGACUUAGUUAUCAUAGGGACCUCAUGGCCCAAGACACACACACACACACACACACACACACACACACACACACACACAAUGUAAUUUUGCCAAGGUACAAUUGUUUAAGUUACUCUGUCCUGAAACAGCUGAGCACAUCCAGCCUAGAGCUUGGUGUCCCCAUCACACUGUGGCUCAUUCUGCUCUCUUGCGUCAGAGUAGCUCUUCUAGGCGGACCAAAAUUGUGCAGAUUUCGGUAAUGCUGGACCGACGUUUCUGUAGGCACUGUUGUAGGGCAUGGGAUAGGCUGUGAAGUACAAUUGUAACUUUACAAAUUACUAGUCAUGAACUUAUAAGUAAAUACUUAGGAAAAAAAAAAACCAACAUGUCAUCUUGAUGUUCCUCUCCCAUGACAGUUGCCAGGGCUUAUAUCCCUAAGACACCUCCCCUUCAUGAAUGUAUCUAAUAUUACUGCUUUUAAAUGAACCAUGCAACAUGCAGCAUACUUAGAGCUCCGUAAUAUUUAAUCUUGUCAUGUAGACACAGUAAUUUUGACCCUUUUUCCUACUGAUGCCUUCAGGCUAUUUCCAGGCUGUUCUGGUCAGUGAGUUUUUAUUCCUUGGGACACUGGUUUGGGUAUCAGGCAUGAAGGAGGCUGAGGGCUCCCGGCUGGCAGCUCCAGGGUGCUUUGGCUCCUUCACUCUGGAGUCUGGAACUUGGUUUUGUUCAGUGGAUAGCGUUUCUACAGCUAAAGCCAACUCCUGGUCUCCCACCAGCCAUGGAGCUCUGUUAGGGCUGCUGAGCGCCUCACACUGGAUGUCCCUGCCAGAAUUCAGCAUCAGGUUGUGGCGGAGUGAUAAUGGAUUUCAAGUCUUAGGCAGCUUCUGGGUUCUCACCUCAAGCUGGUUGAAACCAAAAGUCAAACCAAGGUAUGAUAAUGCACACCUGCCAUCCCAGCGCUGGGACAGCAGAGGCAGGAGAGCCAGGGGUCUAAGGCCAGCCUCUAGCCUGGGCUAUAGAAAACCUAACGGGGAAAAAACAAACUGUUCUUGGAAGGUGGCUGUGACACUCGGGAAAAGCUCCCCUCAGUCCCGCUUGUUUCUGAGCUGUCGUGGCCUCCAACACAUCCAUGCCACUUUUUAGAUUAAGGAUCCUCUGUCCUCUAAGGCCACCAGGUGCCAGGAGAGCUGGUGUGAGCUCCCUCUGGCUCUUCCUUGCCUCUCAGAGGCCAUGCUGGGCUCCUCCUUCACUCUGGUGAGCAGCCCACUGUCCCCUCCACUGCUCGCUCGUGUGCGUGUGCGUGUAUGUGUGUGUGUGUGUGUGUGUGUGUGAGCCCAGAGCUAGGCCUUGCCUUACUCCUGCUGUUGACUGCUCAGCAGGUUUCCUGCAGUUUUGCUAAGGUAAUUCUUUUCCUGUCAAUUCCAAACGCAUAGGUGACACAGAGAGCUCUGUGGGUGCAUAGUGCGGCAGGGAGGGGUGCAGGCUCCCCACAGCUUGUCCUGCAUCCCCGGCUGUUGGGCUAACAGCUGUGGUCACAUUUGAACUGCCCACUCCCACUCUGGGGAACCACUGGGCUGUUUCAAUGGACAUUGAGUUCACAUUACUAAGCACUAAAUACCUAUUUACAUGUGUCUUCAUAUGUGUAAGCAAGUAUGUCCAUGGGGGGUCUGGGGCAUACAAAGAUGCUGCCAGCCUUCUGGAAGAUGGUUCCAGUUGGCUUUUCCCCACCCACGCCUUUGCCAGUGCUUGUCCCUAAACUUGGUUGUCACUGUGAGAAGCGAAGGACCCUUUUUGAUUGUAGUUUUGAUUAGUAUGUUUACUUUUACUGGCUUACACAUAACUGAAUAACACAGCUGUUGAGCACUGGCUGGCAUGUUCCUGUGUCAAUUUCAAGUCUAACUGUUACAGUCUGCUUUGAUAUAUGGUGAGGGCAGUCCUACCUUGUAACUGAACCUUUCUAGAGUUUUCCUGGUCGUUCAUGUGUGAUUAUUUCACUUUCCUUAUGGUGUCUUGAUUUCUUCCUAUACAAGAAUAAGGUGUGUCUUCACUUCCUACCAGUUACUUAACCUAAUCUGACUUCAGUAUUUUUACACUUGUUUAUGUGCAUGCAGUGUAGAGGUCAGAGGGCAAUGCUAUCAGAUUGGCUCUCCUAUCUACUCAGCUCCGGCACUGAAUUUAGGUUGGCAGGCUUGACAACAAGCACCCUUCCUCCUGAGCCAUCUUAGUGACUCUGACUUUGUAUGUGUGAUUGGGCCAGAUAUGGUGGCUCAUGCCUUUAAUCCCAGCAAUUGGGGUGCAGAGGAAGGUGGAUUUCUGUGUUUGAGGUCAGCCCAGUCUGUAGAAUAAGUUUCAGGACAGCUAGAGCUACACAGAGAAACCCUGUCUCAAAAAACAAACAGCUAGGCCAUCAUCAAUGCUAGCCUGCAUCAUGAGUGGUCCCCUCCUGGGAAGGUGUAUGCACACGGUAUGUCUAAAUGGAGUCUUAUCUCCAGGACAUGCCUUUUCCUGCUUCCAGCUUGCUUGAACUUUGAACAAAAUGGUAUUAAAUUGUAGUUUUGACUGGUAUAUUUAGCAAUUUAUAGGUGCUCUUUAUACAUGAAGGAAACUAAACAUUUGUGUUGCAAAUACUUCUGGACCUCUCUGGAUUUUACAUUUUAUGGUAUUUUGCUGUUUGGUGUUUUAAAUAUAUAAAAAAAUAUGCAUUUAUUAGAAUUUUUUGUUUUCUGCAUUUUAGAACUCAGAAAGCUUGGUCUAAUUCAAGACUAUUUUUUGGUGAACCCCAUGCUUUGUCCCAUUACUUUGGCUCUCUCUGGACUUAAGUUGGUGUGCUGAGUGGGGACAGUAAGCCUGUUGUGGCUGUACAUUUACUGAGCAACACGGAUGAAAUGGCCUGUGCUUGCCAGGCUUCUGAGGCCCUAGAGUGUCAGCUCUUUGGUGUCUUGCGCCUGCCACUGUGAACACCUUGUCCAGUGGGGCACAUGGAGCUGCGUUCCUGUGCUUUUAGGGUUGAGGAUGGGACUGUUGGUCACCUCCCUAACUGCCCUCCUGGUAGGGGUCUCCUGUCAGUUCCCUAGGGUAACGCACCUUUCUUCCCUGAGCCUCAUUGCGUGCCCAAGCAAGAGGGCUGGGCCAAGCACAAGUUCCCUUAGCAGGCCAGAGUGAGUAUGUCUGCCUCAGAGAGAUGCCAGCCACUUCUAGCAAACGACAGGUAAAUAGCUCCCCUCGGCCUGGCAGCUCCAUCUUUGAUCUUGCUUUUCCCUGGCUCUAAGAAUGACAAAGUCUCUGUGUUUGGUUUUGGUUUGGUGCUGUGGUUGGAGCCAGGACUCAGGUUCCAGCUGUAGCUUCCGUCCUUGUGUGAGUUCCACUAACUGGUGCUCUGGGGCUCCUGCCGUCUCUUCUACAGAAUGCUUUUCAGGUUUGCACUUUGUCUUUUAAGACCUCAUGCAAUAGUUUUAAAUUUUGAAGCCGGGCGGUGGUGGCGCACGCCUUUAAUCCCAGCACUCGGGAGGCAGAGGCAGGCGGAUCUCUGUGAGUUCGAGUCCAGCCUGGUCUACAAAGGGAGUUCCGGGACCGGCUCCAAAGCUACAGAGAAACCCUGCCUCGAAAAACCAAAAAAAUAAAAUAAAAUAAAAUAAGAUUAAAUUUUGAAACAGGCCUGUGUUUACUGUUAGCAUGUCAUGUACACCACACUUGCUUCUGGAUCCAUUUUUGACAUUCAACCCUUAGGCUUCCAGAAGUUGCUUUGGUAUUAGGCAUCAGGUAAGGAUCUACUUUGGUUGUUUCAAGAUGGCUGAUUUCCUCAGUGCCGUGAAUUAUUAACUAAAUAAUGAGUUUCUUUGGUCUGUUAGUGACUGGUGAGGGUGACACAUGGAAAGACACACAUACUUGUCAGGAAGUGUGGACUCACCAGUAGGGCCAUUGGGAAGGCAAAAAACAUAGUGGCUAAAAACACUUUAGUUUGAGUCAGGACACCAGCUCUCACCCUGGGCCUGUCUCUUGCUACUUCAUGACCUUCCCUCUGCCACAGCUUCUCCAGCUGUGAGAACGUUGUCAUCGUCUACCUCAGCUGUGAGUUAGGGCUGGUGCAGUAAUGCACUCUGCUUGGCGCUCUUGACCCGGGAUAAGCCUGUCCUCGUGGGUUUCCAGUCUUUGCUUAUGCCACCCAUCUUACUCGUCCAUCUUCCAUGCAUCUCGUCUCCUGUUCUGUUCGCAUUUAUUAUAACUAAGGAGUCGUGAGCAUCACAGUCAGGUCCCACUAGUGGGAUCCACAUUGGCCCUGGGAGCUACAUACCAGCCCCCACCUCAUGGUGCCCUUGUUCUGUUCGGUGCACAGGAUUAGUGGCUUGAUUUACUUAUAGUAUUUUACAGUUUUAAUAUUGUGUAUUUCAAUGUACUGUUUUUAUUUUUGGUGAAAUUAUGAAACUUUCUUUUAAAAUACGUUUUUAGGAAAAUUUGAGUUAUAACUCACAAACUAUAACUCAUAAGUCCAUGACUGUGAGGUAGUAGUUCUGUGGUUACAUAUCCGAUUUUGCACAGCUGCUGACCAGUUAUUUGAGUGGGUGGAGGCUCCAUCCUCACAGCCUCCUACCUAUCCUCCCUCCAGUCCCACAGCCCUUACGCUGCCCGCCCUGUGAAUCUAUCUGCCUGCUCUGGGCACCUCAUGUAAGUGUGACGCAGCCUCUGUCUCCUCGUGCCUCUCACCUCCCAGGGCAUAGAUCUUCAGGCUCCAUCUGGACUGCAGAUGAUGACAAUGUAUAUGAUAAAGGUUUAUUCCUCAUUGUGGAGGAAUAUUCCACAAUGAGGAAUAAUAUUCCACGGCAUUGAUUUACCACAUUUUGUUUAUCCAAGUUCCUUUGGAGGUUGGGAGUGUUUCUGUUUAUUGCCUGAUGUAAACAAUGCUGCUAUGAACAUUUUUGUGUUCAAGUCUUUAUGUGAACAUGUUUCCGUUGUAUGUCUACGUAGGAGGAGAUACUUCCAGAUGAUGCAGUAGCUUGGUACUUAAUUGUUCUGAGGAGCUGCAACUGUGUCCAGUGCUGUUCCAGUUCCUAUGUCAUUACUAAUGUCUAAGGUCCCUGCUCUUGCGCCCUCAGCAGCCCUGUUAUUGGCUGACUCUGGCCGUCCUGCUGGAGAUAAAGAGGCAGCAGAGGUGAGGGCAAGCACCCUUUGGUGCACUGUCAGCAGGGUCGUGUCUGCCUUUAGGCCCUGCCCCUGCUGGUCCUUUGUUUCUCAAGUAGGUUCGUGAGGGUGUGAGUGUGUGCAUAUGUGUGCAUAUGUGUUUUACUGAGUAUUAAACGCAGGACCUCUUGUGUUUUGUUUUAAAAGUGUGGGCCACUACAGCUGCUGCCACCACCUGGCUGAACCCAGGGUCUCUUGUGCCAGGCAGUCAUUCUGCUGAUGAGCCACAUCCCCAGAUGGUGACUUAACAUAAUUCAUAUUGUGUGUUUAGAUAUAUGUGGGCAGAGGACAGCUUGUGGGGGCCAGUUUUCGUCCACCACCACAUGGGGCCCGGGGCCAGAUUCAAGCAGUCAAGCCUCGAUGGCGAGCGCAUUUACCCACUGAGCUGUUACUAGCCCAAAGCCACACCCUACAAGUCCUUUGGACUGCAGCUCACUGGUAGAGAGCUUGCCUGAGGCUUUCUCUCCAGUCCUGCAGGAAUUCAAAAGUGACCUGACUGUAGAGGAAGCAGACCGCUGGCUUGCUCAGAUUUCCUGCUUCUGUGUCCCAGAAACCACAGGUCCUAGCAGAGGGAAGGCAGCCCCCGUGUGACUGGUCCCGGCAAGGUGAGCCGACACUGCCCUGUGGUGACAGUGGUCCUGGGAAGACAUCCACUUGUUUAUUUAAUUGAUAGAAAAAAAUCUUAAUUUUUUAAAAAUAAUUUUGAAUUUAUUUAUUCAGCCUUUAUUGUACUUUUUUUUUGGAAAAUUAAGAACAGCUUUAUUGAGGAAAAUGAGAUAAUUGCAUGCUAUCAUGAUGAGCUUCUGAGCUGUAGAAAGAUCAAGCCCUUGAUGUGCUGAAAGACUUGGACUCCAUUUGUGUGCCCCUCACUCUUUCUUCAGACCUCACUUCUAGAGUUGAGCAAAGAUGCUUAAUUUCCCUCUAAUCGCCUGGGCUGCACGUGAGACCCUGGAUCUCUGAAUCAAGUGUGUUAGUGAUAACCCUCUGCACGCUGAAGGACUUCUGUAGCCUGCAGGGCCCUUACCACUGAGCUGUACGAUCCGUCACCAGGGCACCGUGCUCACUCUGGGAGGUAGGUGAGUGCCUAUGAGGUGCUGGAGCCCUUACUACUGAGCUGUACCACCCAUCACCAGGGCACCGUGCUCACUCUGGGAGGUAGGGAGUGCCUAUGAGAUGCUGGAGGACUGUAGCUGCAGCUGUGGGUGAAUCUGUCUUUCUGCAAAUGGCUAAUUCCUUAGCUUAGCCAAUGUUCCCAAAAGAUCAGCUUCCCUUCCAUUUUCAAGCAUGCAUUGACCCUGUAGACAAGACUCCAAGCUUGUGUCCACUGCAUCAAAUGCUUUGUCUUCUGGGUAGCAGCUGAGUUAGGGCAUAAGGGUGUAGGCACAGGCUGUCUCUCUCCUUAGGGUAAGAGCCGCAUGGGGAUGUGGGCUGUAUGAACCAGCCAGUCUCAGCAUCACACUAGUGCUUUUAUGAAUAUUAAUAGCUCAUCUAUGGCUAAACCUAGACCAUUCCCAGGCCUACAGUUUGUUUUGUUUGAGACAGGGUCUCACUGUUUAGCCCCAGUUGGUCUGGAACUUGUAAACCAAGAAGCCCUCAAACUCAGAAAUUGACCUUCCUCUGCCACCUCAGUACUGGAGUUAAAGGUAUGUGCCACCAUGCCCCACCAACCCUGGCUUUAUUUUGCUGACAAUGUAGGCUACAUGAACUUCAGGACACUGCCAGGGAAGGUUGGAAUCUGGGUGUGGUUAGCGACAGUCAGAGGUCUAGUCUGGCCCAGCCUGUAGGUCUUUCUCAGGUUGUCGGUGGCCUAGUUUUAUUUUUGUUUUUAGUUUUUCUUUUUUUUUUAAUUUAUUUUAUUUAUUUUUUUUUUUUUUUUGGUUUUUCGAGACAGGGUUUCUCUGUGGUUUUGGAGCCUGUCCUGGAACUAGCUCUUGUAGACCAGGCUGGUCUCGAACUCACAGAGAUCCGCCUGCCUCUGCCUCCCGAGUGCUGGGAUUAAAGGCGUGCGCCACCACCGCCCGGCUUUGUUUUUAGUUUUUCGAGACAAAGUUUCUCUGUAGCCUUAGCUGUCCUGGAACUAGCUCUCUAGAUCAGGCUGGCCUCAAACUCACAGAGAUCCGCCUGUCUCUGCUUCCAGUGCUGGAAUUGAAGGAAGUGGGCCACCACUGCCCUGCCAGUUUUUUGUUGUUGUUGUUGUUUUAAGGCACAAAAUCUCACUGUGUUACCUAGCUGAUCUCAAGUGAUCUUACUUUAGUCUCCAGGUAGCUAGGUCUACAGGGUGCCACUGGUCCAUCUACAUUUCUUUUUAUUUACUUUUUUGGUAUAUGUAUAUGUAUGUAUAUAGGUGUUUGUAUGUAUGUCUGUGCACCACAUGCAUGCAUUGGCCCUGGAGGCCAGAAGAGGGCAUCAGAUCCCCUGAGCCUGGAGUUACAGAUGGUUGUGAACUGCCAUUCGGUGCUAGGAUUUGAACCUGGGUCCUCUGAAUGAGUGGUUAGUGUUCUUAACAGCUAAGCUACUUCUCCACCAUUGCCAUCUCCAGUCUACAUUUUUUAAAUUCUCAAAGGCAUCUUCUCAACAAGGAAGUAGGGAUGAAUACAGUGUGAAGUUGCAGAGCCCAGUGCUGGGGGCAGGGGUGCCAGUAGUGCAUCUGUGACUCUCAGUCUUGUCUUCAUCCACGUAAGCACAGCAUGGUUUCAUGUGACACCAGGGUGCCUGGUGCUCCUCUCUGCAGGCUCAGGCUCUCUGGAAGUCACUGUUCUAGGGUUACUGGACUACUCAAUAUUUCUAUCUCAUUGUAAGUCAUCUCAUAAAGUUUGUUUUUCAAUACAAUUGCCAUUUCAUGUAUGUAGUGCAUAUGUGUGUGUGUGUGUGUGUGUGUGUGUGUGUGUGUGUGUGUUUGGCAUCCUCCUUAAGAAUGGCCUUUCUCCUGGUUUAAUUCCUGAUUUUUCUUUCUCUUGAAUAGACUUUGAAGACAUCCAGUUUGGCCUUUCCCGAGAAGCUUUAGAGGAAGCAAACAGCUCUGGUUUUUGUUUUGUUUUGGUGCUGGGGAUGAAACCUGUGUGUGCAGGGCUGCUCAGCACAGUCCCCAGACUCCUGAUGUGCAGAGUUAGUUCCACUGGGUUUCGUUAAUUCUUCUCUCCUGGUAUCCCUGGAUUUUAUAUUCUUAUGCUUAACCUAUUUAUGCCCAUCCAGGUCACACACUUCUGUCAACAGAAAGGGAGGUGAUGGUUGUGGGCGCUUGCUCUGAUUCUGCCUUUGGCUCCAGGCAAGGCCCUCAGUUGCUGACGGUGGAGCAUCUCUGAGGAGGCCUCCCGAAACCAUCAGGGAGCAAGAGCUUGGGGUUUCCAGCAAAGGAAAAUAGUGAGCUGUUGGCCUUGGCUUCAGAUUUCGUCAGUCCCUUUAUCGGCAUCCCUCUGCCUAGACACUGAGCAGACCUGUGAACACACAAGGUGACUGGCCCUGCCCUAACUGUCACAGGAACAGGCCUCAGAUGGAGAUGGCACAAGCCAGGAGUAAAGGUGACAGUUGUCCUCUCACUACAAAGGAACGUAGUGCAGCCAGGGGUAAGAACAGAAGCCUCCUCAGGCCUAGAAGGCCUAGGAGUCCUCAGCUGAGUGCCUGCCACAGCCUCAGCCAUGAGGGUGACAGGGCUGGCUGUGGUCCCUAUAUACCCAAGGGUUUCUGUAUAUUAAGAAAUAGCAGAUUUGUUAUGUCUGCUCUGUUUGUGGUUUUAAUUCUGUUGUGUGAUUUAAAAUUAGCCAUGCAGCUUCCAAGUGCUGGCAGUUUUUAUUUCUCGGCUCCUGACGUCCACGGCCAUUGUAUUUGGUGUGAGGUGUAGUGGCCUGAGGAAGUAGGGACGCAGCUGUAUCUGCACUAUAGAACAUAUGGCUCUCUUUCCAUUUUAUUUUAGUAUUACUUGGUUUUGCUUUGUUUUGAUUUUUGUUUGUUUGUUUGUAAAUAUUUAUUUAUUAUGUUUUCAAUAGUCUGUCUGUGUGUAUGUCUGCAGGCCAGAAGAGGGCACCAGACCUCAUUACAGAUGGUUGUGAGCCACCAUGUGGUUGCCGGGAAUUGAAUUCAGGACCUUUGGAAGAGCAGGCAAUGCUUUUAACCACUGAGCCAUCUCUCCAGCCCAGUUUGUUUGUUUUUUAAGACAGGGUUUCUCUAUAUAAGAGCCUUAACUGUCCUGGAACUAGCUCUGUAGAACUAGCUCUUGUAGACCAGGAUGGCCUUGAAUUCAGAGAGAUCCUCCUGCCUCUGCACUCCUGAGUGCUGGAAUGGUAUGUGCCACCACCGCCUGGUUUUGUUUUGGUUUUUGUUUGUUGUUUUUGGAUAUAUUUAUUUAUUAUAUAUACAGUGUUCUGUCUGCAUGUUUGUCUGUAGGCCAGAAGAAGGCACCAGAUCUCGUUAUGGAUGGUUGUGAGCCACCAUGUGGUUGCUGGAAUUGAACUCCAAACCUCUGGAAGAGCAGACAGUGCUAUUAACCUUUGAGGCAUCUCUCCACCCCUUUGUUUUGAUUUUCUUUUUGUUUUUUUGAGACAGGCUCUCAAAACUGGCCUCAAACUCAGAGUCUGCCUGCCUCUGCCUCCCAAGCACUGGGAUCAGAGGUGUGUGCACCACCGCACCCAGCUCCCUAUUCUUGUUUGUCUGUAGUCCAGGCCAGCUUCGACCCUGACCCCUCAAGUGCUGAGCUUACAGCUCAGGCAUGUGCCAUCUACCCAGCCACUAAAGGUUAUAAGUGUUCAUGGCUGACGAGAAGAAUUUCUCAUCACAUUGGGUAAACCCCUCCCUGUGUUCUGGGGACAAAUUCAUGAUUGUAUCCUUGUGCAGCAAAAGGUCUGAGCUGUGUUCUGUAAGUGCUGCAGAAGCUGCUGAGGUGCCUUCCCAUCAGCUGGAGUCCUCCUACCUCCUGCCCCCAUACCCACCCCCGGCCAUGUGCACAGUCUUGACUGCACUGAACUGAAGUCUCUUACUCUGCUGUGGUUGGUGGUUAUUUGGGACCUAGUUACUCCUACUGAGAUGGUGUGCCCUUUGGGCUGAGUAUGUUCCAGGGAGAGCGACUCGGUCCCUGCCUCCCGAGUCCCAUGAGCAGGUGCCAGCAUUUAUCUCUUCUAAUGGUGUAGUGACCCCAUUAUGCCCUGGAUAAAGGGAACAGCAGUUCCUCGGACCUUCCUGCUCUCUGCUUUCUGGAUGGUUCUAGGGCCAUUGUGCAGGCUGUUUUCUGUCCACCUUUUCCGACACCCUUUCACCUCUGCUCAUUGGCCGACUGUGCAGGAGCUCCUAGAAGUCAUUUCAACCCGCACUUUUUAACCAGAGGUCUUGUUUCCUCUGUGGCUCAGUUUUUGGGGUUCCUGCAGCCACACCUGAGGGUCUUAUCACCACCAUGUUGAAUUAAUGCUUUGCUCAUCUUACAGGGUGUUCCCUGAUGCUCCUAUUUCUGUGGGCUUGUAAGGCCUGGACUCUGAGUCAGGUUGGCACUUAGAUGACUAUGCCUAUUUCCUCUGCUGCUGCAGUGAGUAAGUCUGUUCUUUGCUGGUGGGGAGCUGAAGGGAGGCUGGGAGAGAAGGGGGGUACCAGCCAGAGGGCUGGGCCACGAGGAGAUAGAGAAGGGGAUGGAGAAGGUGGGGUUUGCAAGGGCCGGCCUAUGUGGGACUCCACAAACCUCAGUGUGUCUGUAUGUGUGGAUCUACUGUGUGUUUGUAUGUGUAUACAUGUGAACCUGUGCUGUAUAUUUGUGUGUGCAUAUGAGCCUACUGUGUGUGCAUGUGAACAUGUGAGUUUGCAUGUGUGUGCGUGUGAACCUGUGGUUUAUGCUUGUGUGUGCAUGUGUGCCUACCGUGUGUUUGCAUGUGUGUGCGUGUGAACCUGUGGUGUGGGAGCGGUAUGAAAUGGACGUGAGCUGAGAGGAUCCUGUUCUCAGCAUGGCCUGACCCAGGUGCUCUGGGCAGGUUACAGUCCUCGGAUCCUCGGGUCUUACCUGGACCGUGCUGGGGACAUGGGUUCCUGAGCAUCUCCACAUUUACAGAAGGGGAUCCGGGCUCCCCCAUGACAUGAAGAGGACUACAGGGCUUACAGGGGUGCUCUGUUCACCUUGUGGCUCUGGGAUCUUAGUAACUCCCUCCCUCACGAACCUGGACAGCGUGCUAGAGAUCACAGGAAAACUGGUGGGGACACUGCUUCCAACUUGACUUCAUUUCCAAACCACGACAGUGUCCUGGAAGGACUCCCGCUGGAGAUCACAGUCUCAGAGAAUGGGGGCAGACGGGCCUGUCUGUAUGGCUUAGGUGGCCGGGACCCAGCAAACCUGGAGGGCCCGCAGCACUCAGCUAACCAAGUGUUGAAGCCGCCUUAGUUCUUAGAUCUGUUGAAUUGUGAGUUGUUGGCAUAAAGUAGGAAGCGUGGAAAGUAUAAAACGAAGGUAAGAUUCCUCUUCCCUCUCCUACCCAGCCCCACCAUGCAGAGGCAGCCCUCAGGUGGCAUAGAAUCUUUCUGGAAAUGUCUACUGCAAAGCACAGCUCCUGCUCUCAGGGCAAACAGGCUCACCUGGGUCUGGUUUCAUGCUUUUCUCAUGUAGGUGAGAAACAUGUACGGGGAGGCAGGGACUGGAGUCCCCUGGAGCCCUUAGCAGGUGUCAGGGCAGGCAGGAGUGAUCCUGGGAGGGCCUGGAACCGCCGCAGGUGUUUCUUUUCCUGACCGCGGCUCAUGGCCGCGCUCAGGUUUUGCUUUUCACCUUUGUCUGUGAGAACGUGAGCAGAAAAAGCAAAAGGCACUGGUGGCGGCACGCCCAUGCUUCUGGGCCGGGGUUCGAGUCCCCGCAGUACCCUGCUUCCUUUCUGCUCUGGCUCCAUGCCUCUCUUCCGUGUCCCCCAAAGGACUCAGCAAUUCCUAGGAGCAAGGUGUUGGCAGAUGCCCACGGCUCUGCCAGGGUCUCCUGCUCCCCUCUCUGUUCCUUCCCUCCUGGAGCCUGGCCUGGGCUCUAACUGCUGCAGGUCCCACUUCCUGGAACCCCCAGCCUCUGGUAACCCCAGUUCAUUUAUUUUUGUGACAGAGUUCCAGUCACUAUUUGCACCGGCAGUGUGGCUUGGUGGCAGAUGACUGACCUAGCCGGUGCCAGGCAGAAUUAGAAGAGAGCCACAGUCACUCCUGCCAUUGGGCAGCUCUGUCUCACAAACUCAGUGGGCCAAAGCACAAGCAGGUGGAUCCCUGUGAGUUAGAGAGCAGCCUGGUCUACAGAGUGGGCUCCAGCCGAGCCAGACCUACACAGUGAGACCCUGCCUCAAGAAAUCAGUAAAUAAACAUCAGGUCAGAGUACAGACAAGGUCUACGAUGCUUAGCUGAAGAAUGAGAAAGGCUAGACAUUGGCGCCAGGCAAACACAAGAGACAAAGGGACCUCAGAAAAGCAGGAGGCCGUUGUGAGCCAUGUGAUAGCUUGCACUUCCGGCCUUCCAGUUCGGAGUGUAAUAACAAACCGGGGUCACAGCUUUUCUCACCGGGCAUUGGAACUGAACUAGGCUGAAAUCUACUCUGUCCAUCUUUCCCUCCUAAGACCCAGCAGGUCACCAAUUUCCUGAGUUCGCAGUGACUUCAGCUCCCGGGGUAUCUGUCCUAGCCCUGGUUUCUCUCUAGCCCUUUGAUUCCUUGUCACAUCCCUCUCUAUAUGUCUCCUGGCCUGACUGUUCUACUGGGUCUUUGACUCUGGCCUUCCCCCCAGGCUGAUCAGGGGUUGAUGGAUACAGCAUUUGGAAUCUUUGAGAUGCCUUCAAGGACUGGGUAUGCCGGAGGCCAGAGGCUAAGUCUCUCUUCCACUGCUGUGCUCCACAGCACUCUAGAGACAGGCUCUGCCACGAACCCGGAGCUCGUCAAUCGUAGGCUCCAGAGAUUCACCUGCUUCAGCGCUCCCCACCCCCAGCUUCCCAGCACUGAGGUUACUGAUAGGAUCAGGACUCCAUGUUAGUACUGCUAGCCCCUCCCUCCCCAUCACCCUUCAGGAAGCUUCUUAGCAAAUAUUCCUGUUUACUAUGUUUGAAACAUGGUCAGAAAGUACCAGAGAACACCUGGGCUCAGCUGGGCAUAGGGGUAGAAGCAGCACUUUCUGUUCCCUUGUCCCUUCCCAUCUGAGUCAAGGAAAUAAAUAUCUGUGAUCUCAGCACCCACAGGCUGAGGCAAGAGGACUAAACAUCCUUGCUCAGCCUAGACUACAGAAGGCAGGUGUCCUGGCUAGUGGACAUAGGUGGAAUCAUUGGAGAGAAGGGAACCCUCAAUUGAGAAAACGCCUCCACAGGAGCUGACUAUAGGCAGGCCUGAAGGGCAUUUUCUUAAUUACAGUGAUUAGUGGGGUAGGCCCAACUCAUUGUGGGUGCCACACCUGGGCUGGUGGUCCUGGCUUCUAUAAGAAAGCAGGCUGAGCAAGCCAUGAUGAGCAAACCAGUAACCAGCACCCUUCCAUGGCUCUGCAGCAGCCCCUGCCUCCAGGUUCCCACCCAGUUUGAGUUCCUGCCUUGGCUUCCCCAGAUGGGCUGUGACCCGGGAUGUGUGUGGCAGAACAAAGAAAGGUCUUCAGGCUGAGACCAUUGUUCCCACCCUCAGAGCACUGCAGUGAAGCCAAGUCUCAGGCAGAGUCUUUCCCCAAACCGCCUUUUGAGAGGAAAUGAAAAACAGAAGCUAAAGACCUGGCUCAAGCAAGAGGCAGAAAUGAGAACCCUGCUCUUCCCUCCUUUGAGGAGCAGCUUCCCUGGCCUCCUUCCCUCCAGGCAAGCAGCGCUGCCAGCUUGGCUCUGCAGAGGGCACUGGAGGACACGUGACCCCACUGCAGCUUCCCACUAACUCUUUAGGGGGCAGUGUGCCUCCCCUCUGACUGGUAGGAUCAGGGCUUGGACCCGCAGCAUGCAGGAUACCCCGGCUGUGGACAUCCAGUUUCCAGUUAAUGAGAUGGGAGAGGCACUUGGGUGGCAUCACUCUGAGCAGUGGUGGGAGUCCCUGGGGCAGAACAGGCACAGUGCCAGCCUUGGCACUUGUGGGAUGCCAGCCCCAGCCUUCCGGAAAGACCUAGUCAGGAUGCUGUACACCUCUCCAAGCAACAAGGACCAGUUUCCUGGUACCAAUCUGGAGGAAGAGCAAGGUCCACAGCCUGGAUCUUUCUGUUGUCAGAACUCCAGCGACGGGGUUAGCUCGACUCUGGCUUCUAGCUUUUGGCGCCUCUCUACUGUGUGAGCCCCCAGUCCAAGCCUGGUCCAGAUCCUGCCAAUUAGAACUGUCCUAGGGGCUGGAGAAAUCACUGACUGCUCUUCCAGAGGACCCAGGUUUGAUUCCCAGCACCUGCAGGGUGGCUCGCAACCAUCUAUAACUCCAGUUCCAGGGGGCUUGAUGCCUUCUUCUGACCUCCACAGGGCGCCCACACGUGGUGUACAUACAUACUUACAGGCAAAAUUCUCAUGUGCAUGAAAUACAAUAAAUAAAUGAGAAAGGAGUGACCGUCCUACCUCCAGGCAGACUGCCCUGCCAGGAAUGUCCUGUCCAGCUUACCCAACAACUCAUCCUUCCGGACUUAGAGUCCCACACACUUUAUGGCUCUCGGAAGCCGCCCUCAGCUGGAGACAGUCCCUGACGCAGGUUUGGGAGCCUCAGCCAUAGUCAUGCCAAGCUGCGUCACAGGUAUUUAUAGCUGUGCUCAACUCCAGAAAAAGAAGCACUUCUUCCUGCCCCACAAAAGCGCACUCCGGAACUCCGCUGGUAAAGGUGAAAUCCUAGAGAAACUCGCUGCUUGGGCAAGGCAUGCUCGUACUUUAAUGGCCCCCUCCCCAUUUUCACUGUUUUUUUAAAAUGUAUCAAGUCAUUACAAUGUUUUAAAUACAAGCCUAUUUUUCUCA